rnacentral:tRNA from 1 species
GCUCCUGUAGUUCAACGGGAUAAAACGGGGCUUUCCUAAAGCUCAGUUCCAGGUUCGAGUCCUGGCAGGAGCA